GAAACUUAAAGAGCGUAGUUUAACAGUAAAGCUUAUAAGUCAACCUGUAAACUGCAGCGACAUGAUUUGACUAUAUUACAUCUGAUUCCAAGUCCCAGGGCACAGGGGCAGAGAAAGUUCUCCACUAGAACUUGUAUAUCUUGGUUGAUUGCUCAGUUUCCCGAGUUGUGCUACCAGUAGCAGAAGCGUCGAAUUGGAUGGUUGAAUGAGUUGGACUGAAGUUCGUCUGAUCAUUAUACAGGCAGGGCUUAAGCACAUGCUUUGC
rnacentral:misc_RNA from 1 species